rnacentral:rRNA from 1 species
GACGAACGCUGGCGGCGGGCUUAACACAUGCAAGUCGAACGGAAAGGCCCUGCUUGUGUGGGGUGCUCGAGUGGCGAACGGGUGAGUAACCCGUGAGUAACCUGCCCUGGACUUUGGGAUAACUUCAGGAAACCGGGGCUAAUACCGGAUAGGAGCUCCUGCUGCAUGGUGGGGGUUGGAAAGUUUCGGUGGUUGGGGAUGGACUCGCGGCUUAUCAGCUUGUUGGUGGGGGAGUGGCUUACCAAGUCUUUGACGGGUAGCCGGCCUGGGAGGGUGACCGGCCACAUUGGGACUGAGAUACGGCCCAGACUCCUACGGGAGGCAGCAGUGGGGAAUAUUGCACAAUGGGCGGAAGCCUGAUGCAGCAACGCCGCGUGCGGGAUGACGGCCUUCGGGUUGUAAACCGCUUUCGCCUGUGACGAAGCGUGAGUGACGGUAAUGGGUAAAGAAGCACCGGCUAACUACGUG